rnacentral:sRNA from 1 species
ACUGUUUCUAUCUCUCCUAAUCUGAUUCCAGAUCAUUUCAUUGACUUUUGUCUAUCCUUUUUAUACUCUCUUCAACUGUGUCUCUGAUUCCGCAGUCAGUGCAGCUACCUUUUACCCCACCUCAGUGUCUGUGCCAUUGGACCUUAUUGUUAGGAGGACCCCAGUGGGGCUCCCAGACGCUGUGAGAACUCAAGCAUUCCCUGGAAGACCCCAGUGGGGCUCCCAGACGCUGUGAGAACUCAAGCAUUCCCUCGUCCUUUUGCACCCCUUCUACCCCCACAGGCCUUCAUCAGUGGUGCUGGUGAGUCAGACAUCUAUGUGGUCAUGUGCCGAACAGGAGGACCAGGCCCCAAGGGCAUCUCAUGCAUAGUUGUUGAGAAGGGGACCCCUGGCCUCAGCUUUGGCAAGAAGGAGAAAAAGCUUCUUACGUUGGUGCACUUUGUUGCUCCAGGAAGAGACACUUAGAGAAGACCUGGUGUUGACCACAAGUCUCAGUAAUGGAAGGCAUGUGGUCCCUUUUUCUUCUUUGAUUAAAAAUAAAGUAAAACUCAUUGGAGAUGAUUGUGGGUAUUUCAGCAACCUAAGAAGGACACUUAGGUACUGUAAGUAAUUUGAAAAGUAAGAUACUUCUAUUAUUAAGAACCGCCAUGGCCAGGGCAUGAACAGGAGACCUGUGAUUAUGUAACCGUAAUUGGCAAUAAGGGCUCAAGACCCAUUCAGAUUUUUUAGGCCAGAUGCUCAAAGCAGUCACCUCUUUCUAGUUUGUACUGUUCUGGGGGACUUUGUGAGAGAAGGCAGGUAAUGAAAUGACCCCUAAGUGUACCUCUUUCUCACAGCUCCUCGGGUUUCCGUAUUCUCCUACAGGACCCUUCCUGGUCCUCUGUAACUGCAAAGCAUUAUGCAUUUCAGCACCCUUCUCUGUGGCAACACAGCAACCAUUU